rnacentral:misc_RNA from 1 species
AUAUAUAUAUAUAUAUACACACAUAUGCACUUCUGUUGAUUCUAAUUGGAUCUUGGAGUUGUGGAUUUCUGGUUGAGAUAAAUUGACGAUUUAAUUGGGUGUUAAGUUGUAUGUUUGGGAUUUUGGUAUUAGAAUGUUGAUAAACUGAAAGGGGGAUUAAAGAAAUUGAGUAUUUGCUGCCUUGUUAACUCGAGCUCUUAAAAAUAGAAGAAGAAUUUGAUAAAUUUAGCUUAUUUCUGAAUUUUCUUCGCAGCAAAGGGACUAUUAAUGCUAUAAAAAAGAUUCUUUUGUGGACAUUUUGUUAUCAUUUUAGUGAAAUUGAAUUUUUUUUUGGAUAGUGAAAGUUUCUGGAAAUCAAUUAUCAAUUUUAGAUUUACAUGGAGCGAGUAGUUGAUUCGGCUUUCUAGUACAAGUAUUUUUGUGUUAUUUGGCUUUUUCAUUCUGUAUUCAUAAAUGGUGCUUUUGUUUUAUUUUUUGCCAUAUGUGUUUUCAACCUUUAAAUGGCCUUUAUUCCUCUUUGAGAAAGUUCACAUCGGAUAAAUUUUGCCUCUUGCAGUAAUAGACAGCUGGUGCCUUAAUUGAUUGGUUUUGUAGUUUUGAUUGAUAAGUCAUCACAGCCAAUUGAGCCUUCAUUUUCAUUGUCAUCUGCAGUAUAACAUAAUCUUCUUUUAAAUUAUUGUCUCUACCGCCCAACAGAGCCUUAGAUGUAACAUUCCUUUCCUAUGAUCUUUUUUAGAGAUCUUGAAUUAGCAUUUGUAUCUUGGUGCAAUGAGAACCCAAGGUUGUCGGCAAAGCAAAGCUCACUACCCAUCUAAUCCAAUCUAGUCUUAUGUGUACUUCUUCAUGAGUGAUAUGUGCUUGGCUCUUGGCCUAUAGCUCGAGUGGUAAAUUGAGUUUUUUCACUUUUGGCUUUGGGUGUAAAUCAUACUAAUCAAUGGAUAAAUAUGCUAUCUUACUAUGUCAAUGUACGUGGGAUUUAAUUCUGUAUAACUUUAAUCACAAAUGACAGGAUUAUCUUGCAUCACCUGCAACA